CUGAGAACAACUCCAAAACCGAAACCAGUGAUUCACAAAUGUGUCAGACACACAUUUUACUAACAGUUUAAAAUAUGAAGCGUUUAAACGACAGCCUGCAAACAUCUGGGAAAAGCAGACUUCUGGGAGAGGCGAGGAACGUUCCAGCUGCUUCACAUGUAUUUUCCAUUUCAUGAUGUUCCAAAUGCUUCGAGUUGGGGGACGUUUCACUCCUCGUAGAUGUCUUACUCUACGGAGGCAUGAAGUGCUGACAACUUGACCAGCAGCCGACGCUUAAAAUGUCUUCGCAUGUUUUCUAGUUUUAAUUUUUUAAUCUCCCAGAAAGCUCCAACCUGCCGCGGCCUCUUCUCUGAGUGACACAAGCAGAUCCUCUACGUCCAAGAAAUUAGAGCUCUUGUUCCUGGCUGUUCCACAGCACAUUAUCAGGGUUUAGAUGAAGAAACACUGCACUCAAGAUCGCUGGGAGCAAAAGAAACAGCUGGAGAAAAGAGGUGGGAACUUGAAAGUAAAAUGCAAAUAAUCCAGAGGAGGAGGAAGAAUGGGAGGAGUGAGAAAGUGAAAACUGGAGGGUGAAGCAGGAUAAAGUGAUAGAAGAGAGGGAGUCCAUCCUUUCGCUCCGAUCUCUCCAGCCACGUGUAGACCAGCAGCUCCGGGUGACGCACCUUUUUCCCCUGAAGUGAACCAUCACCUGCCAAAACUCCAAACUCGUCCUUCUGGUUGUUCAUUCCUCUUUUCCUUGGAUAGCCAGGAGCCUUCCCCAGCAGCGAGGUUGGAAGUUUGACAAAACUUUCCUGAAAACUGGCCAAAGAAAGGAUUUUCUUCAUUCUACAACUGCUGUUGAGCUUUCAGCUGGAGUCCAGCAGAGGACAGACGCUGAAGACACUUUAAGCCAUCAGCGUCGUGUCGGAGGGUCGGGGAGUUGAAGCCUCCGGAGGGGUCUGCUUUCUCACAGCUGUGAUCGAUUUGUUGAAGAUGUUGUAGUGAGUUGUGGGGCAGCAGACAGCAGAGGAUAAUGUGACACAGAUGAUGGUUUUGCCGCCUGUGCCAUGCAGAGGGAGAGGCCAGCUCUCGUGAGUGUGUUUGUGUUUCUGUGUUCUGUCAACAUCAUGGCCAUCACCCAAAAACCAUGCAGCAGGGACCUUAUUAACAACGUCCUGACCCUGAAGGAGAAAGUCUCCAUCAUCUCCAACAAGUUGUCGCUGAACUGCAGCCUGUACACACCCACCAUUGAAGACUACGAGCAGACAGCGUCAAAGUGUCGUCGGUGUGAGGUCAUGAAGGAGAAAAAUGCAACCACCUUUCUUGAAAAUCUGCUAUGGACUGUUGAGAAAUCUAACAGUGACUACUGUUAGGACUUUCAGAAGAGACUGCAUGGCCUGACUUUCUUUUCAUUAACUUUCUAUUAAACCACCUGCACACAAAUAAAGUGCAGAAUGUAUGAUGUCGGAGCAGCUCAGUGGCAUUUGAGUUACAGUUAGAGGCUAACGCGGGGUUCUGGGUGGAAAAAGCUUGCUUGUAGUUUCAUAUCAACUCAUCAGCUAACAUAAAUGUCUCACUGAUGAAGUCAUAAAGAAGACACAGUCAGAUCCCAGCUAAGCUGCAGUCAGAUGCUGAGAGCACGUUGGUCACUUUAAUGUGUUUUAAGGAAAUAUGUGUGUAUUUUCGUCUGCUAUUAAUGAGUAUUAUUAUAUUAAUAAGGUUGCUAUCAAGCAGUUGGACAGUGGGUGAAAAGGGGGCAUUGGGUCAGUGUGUUUAUUGGCCUUGGUAAACUGAUGGAAGUACACCGAGGAUGGCAGGAGGAAAACAGACCUGUCUACGCAUUUCACAACCACAGACACCAUCACAGAAAUGUGCGACAGUUUCUGAGCACGUGGGACUUCCUGAGGAUCGCACAACUGGCUUAGUCGAAAGCCACUGCCAGAUUAUUCAUGCAUCAGACAUUACAAUGCAAUGGACAUCUGCAAGGACAUCACUGCUUACCGCCUACUGUGGCCAAAAUAUGCUCCUACACAGCUCUGAUGUAAACCUCAGAAACAUAUAAAGUUAUUUCUACUCUUCUAAUAAGCUCAUUCUCUCCCUACUUUGAUCUGAUGCUCCUGUAUUUAGUUCAGUACAAUAAACUUCAUUUUAAAGUAAGCUGAUGCACGCGUUUCACUCUUAUUUCUUGCACCUUCAGAAUAAAAUUAUCCCGUUCUGUCUUUUUGUACAGCUUGGCUAGAUUAAGGAUCAUGUAAAGUUAGAUGAUAAAAAUUAAUUAUUUCAAGGUAAGUGAGCUUUAAAUGACAACAGCUUCAUAUUUUUAGACCUUGGAGUGUACUAGUGUAGCUUUAAUAAUCCAUAUCUACCCUCAUAAAGCCCUUCAGUUCAUCCUCAUUCAACAUUGAGUCUAACAGCCCACUUUCUCCUAAUCUGAGAACUUUUGGGAGCCUGCUGUGAGCUAGUCUCUCAUUGUACAUGAGUUUAGCCGCUUUAGUAUGAACAGCUGGAAACCAUCUACCCCCUGAGACGGACAGACCGUCGGGUUCUCUCCUUCAGAGUCUUGGCAAGACCAGAUCUUAACAAACUAAACAGACACACAGACUGUGCAGAUCACAUGAUGGGCAAAUACACUGUUUAG
ensembl:lncRNA